rnacentral:lncRNA from 1 species
GAGAUAACGACAAGAAUGAUAACACUAGCCAAGAUUUUAGGACUACAUGUGGUGAUGGUAGCAUAGGCAUGGGACACAGGCAAUCAUACAGGUCACUGAGCCCAUUUACUUGUAAGACCAAUUGGUAACUAAAUCCAAAAUUCUGAUCUGUGUCAAGGCAUGGUUUGCCGAACCAAGCAGUACUGAUACGUACCGACCAUACCGUACCAUACUAAUACAUGGUACGAGAGGCAUACUGAGUGUCGAUACGCCAAACCAGCCUCCGUACUAGGUGUACUGAUAUAGUAAUAGGAUGGCAUCAGUACAGGACCCGGUACUGAGAUGGCGAAUCUUGAUCAAAGGUAACUUAGUUUUAAGAGAUCAUAUCUAAGGAGGAGCAAUGGCAAGGGAAACAGGGGGCCUACAAACAGCCAUAAGGGGCACAAAUUCCAGAUGGGGACAUCGAGAGGGUAUGGAUGCUAUCACAGAAAAAAGUUAGCUCAAUGGGGUAGUCCAGUGUUGAUAAUCAAUAUCCGUAGCAGAAUGCAUCAUCGACAUCCAUUCUAUAAUCCAUGACACAUUUAACUUGUGGUCAUAAAAUGAGGGAUCUCUUGUGAUGACUCAAGUCCCGACGGGAUGUUCCAUAGGACACCGACAUGGGGUACCAUCCCGAGUGUUGGGAUAGNNNNNNNNNNNNNNNNNNNNAAAACCAAUGGUGUUAGGUUGUGGUUGGUGAGCCUUUGGGAAAACCAACUGGGUUGAUUGUGAACCCGGAAAACAAUCGUUGUAAGGUUGUGGUUGGUGAGCCUGUGGGGAAAACCAACUGGGUUUGAUUGUGAACCCGGAAAAACAAUCGGUUGGUUCUAGUCGGUGAGCCUGUGAAUACCGACCGAGUUCGUUGUUAUCUCGCAAAACAACAAGUUGGGUUGUGAGCUUGUAAAACAACCGGCUGUAAUCUGUAGGAUUAUAGUGAAAUUUCCAAGAGGUCUUGGGGAGUGGAUGUAGGUGCUGGGGUGCACCGAACCACUAUAUGUUUGUUGUGUUUGUAAUGCCUCUUGUCAUUGUCUAACUUACUCACUUACUUAGAUAAAUUGCUUGCUUAACUCUUAUCCGCGCAUCCUUUAGUUGCAAGCAUAUUCAAUCAAGUCACAUUCUAUACAUCAAACUGUUGCUAAGUUUAAAUUUCACUGUGCAUCUAUACAACUCAGCAUAAUUAAUUGAAAAGUUUUAGAAGUAGUCUAAAAGUUUUAAAAGACCCAAUUCACCCCCCCUCUUGGGUUGUAUCUACUGGGCAACAAAAUAUAAGAUAUACUCAAAUGCUUUGAGCUCAUCAAAAUCAAAUAGGGUUUCAAUCAAUCACUCCACAAUCUCCCCCUUUUUGAUGAUGACAAAACUUUGAGUAUACGUAAAGUGAAUUGCUCAAUAAACAACGAAAUAAAAUCCAUAAAUGAAUUCAAAUGUCUGGUAAUUUAAUAUAUCCAAGCUUGAAAGGUGUGAAGCAAUAAAUUUUGGAAUUAAAGCUCCCCCUUUCAUUUGGAAUAAUAUAAGCCUUCAUAUCAUGCAAUCAAUUGUUUGGCUUAUAUAUAUUUAAUGAUUUAGCUUUCUUAAAAACAUUCAGAUUCUCCCCCUCAACAUAUGCAUUCUACUUAUGAUUUGAUUCUCUGAAUUUUCU